GGCGCGUCUAACACAUGCAAGUCGCACGAGAAAGUGGGGGCAACUCCAUGAGUAAAGUGGCGUACCGGUGAGUAACACGUGACUAACCUACCUUCGAGUGGGGAAUAACCUCGGGAAACCGGGGCUAAUACCGCAUAACACCGAGAGGUCAAAGCAGUAAUGCGCUUGAAGAGGGGGUCGCGGCUGAUUAGCUAGUUGGUAGGGUAAUGGCCUACCAAGGCGACGAUCAGUAUCCGGCCUGAGAGGGCGCACGGACACACUGGAACUGAAACACGGGCCAGACUCCUACGGGAGGCAGCAGUGGG
rnacentral:sRNA from 1 species